rnacentral:rRNA from 1 species
UGGAGGUAUCAGAAGUGCGAAUGCUGACAUAAGUAACGAUAAAGCGGGUGAAAAGCCCGCUCGCCGGAAGACCAAGGGUUCCUGUCCAACGUUAAUCGGGGCAGGGUGAGUCGACCCCUAAGGCGAGGCCGAAAGGCGUAGUCGAUGGGAAACAGGUUAAUAUUCCUGUACUUGGUGUUACUGCGAAGGGGGGACGGAGAAGGCUAUGUUGGCCGGGCGACGGUUGUCCCGGUUUAAGCGUGUAGGCUGGUUUUCCAGGCAAAUCCGGAAAAUCAAGGCUGAGGCGUGAUGACGAGGCACUACGGUGCUGAAGCAACAAAUGCCCUGCUUCCAGGAAAAGCCUCUAAGCAUCAGGUAACAUCAAAUCGUACCCCAAACCGACACAGGUGGUCAGGUAGAGAAUACCAAGGCGCUUGAGAGAACUCGGGUGAAGGAACUAGGCAAAAUGGUGCCGUAACUUCGGGAGAAGGCACGCUGAUAUGUAGGUGAAGUGAUUUACUCAUGGAGCUGAAAUCAGUCGAAGAUACCAGCUGGCUGCAACUGUUUAUUAAAAACACAGCACUGUGCAAACACGAAAGUGGACGUAUACGGUGUGACGCCUGCCCGGUGCCGGAAGGUUAAUUGAUGGGGUCAGCGCAAGCGAAGCUCUUGAUCGAAGCCCCGGUAAACGGCGGCCGUAACUAUAACGGUCCUAAGGUAGCGAAAUUCCUUGUCGGGUAAGUUCCGACCUGCACGAAUGGCGUAAUGAUGGCCAGGCUGUCUCCACCCGAGACUCAGUGAAAUUGAACUCGCUGUGAAGAUGCAGUGUACCCGCGGCAAGACGGAAAGACCCCGUGAACCUUUACUAUAGCUUGACACUGAACAUUGAGCCUUGAUGUGUAGGAUAGGUGGGAGGCUUUGAAGUGUGGACGCCAGUCUGCAUGGAGCCGACCUUGAAAUACCACCCUUUAAUGUUUGAUGUUCUAACGUGGACCCGUAAUCCGGGUUGCGGACAGUGUCUGGUGGGUAGUUUGACUGGGGCGGUCUCCUCCUAAAGAGUAACGGAGGAGCACGAAGGUUGGCUAAUCCUGGUCGGACAUCAGGAGGUUAGUGCAAUGGCAUAAGCCAGCUUGACUGCGAGCGUGACGGCGCGAGCAGGUGCGAAAGCAGGUCAUAGUGAUCCGGUGGUUCUGAAUGGAAGGGCCAUCGCUCAACGGAUAAAAGGUACUCCGGGGAUAACAGGCUGAUACCGCCCAAGAGUUCAUAUCGACGGCGGUGUUUGGCACCUCGAUGUCGGCUCAUCACAUCCUGGGGCUGAAGUAGGUCCCAAGGGUAUGGCUGUUCGCCAUUUAAAGUGGUACGCGAGCUGGGUUUAGAACGUCGUGAGACAGUUCGGUCCCUAUCUGCCGUGGGCGCUGGAGAAUUGAGGGGGGCUGCUCCUAGUACGAGAGGACCGGAGUGGACGCAUCACUGGUGUUCGGGUUGUCAUGCCAAUGGCACUGCCCGGUAGCUAAAUGCGGAAGAGAUAAGUGCUGAAAGCAUCUAAGCACGAAACUUGCCCCGAGAUGAGUUCUCCCUGACUCCUUGAGAGUCCUGAAGGAACGUUGAAGACGACGACGUUGAUAGGCCGGGUGUGUAAGCGCAGCGAUGCGUUGAGCUAACCGGUACUAAUGAACCGUGAGGCUUAACCUU